AUUGAACGCUGGCGGCAUGCCUAACACAUGCAAGUCGAACGGCAGCGCGGGGGCAACCCUGGCGGCGAGUGGCGGACGGGUGAGGAAUACAUGGGAAUCUACCCUGUCGUGGGGGAUAACGUAGGGAAACUUACGCUAAUACCGCAUACGACCGAGAGGUGAAAGCGGCGGACCGCAAGGCGUCGCGCGAUUGGAUGAGCCCAUGUCGGAUUAGCUAGUUGGCGGGGUAAAGGCCCACCAAGCCGACGAUCCGUAGCUGGUCUGAGAGGAUGUGCAGCCACACUGGAGGUGAGACACGGUCCAGACUCCUACGGGAGGCAGCAGUGGGGAAUAUUGGACAAUGGGCGCAAGCCUGAUGCAGCAAUGCCGCGUGGGUGAAGAAGGCCUUCGGGUUGUAAAGCCCUUUUGUACGGGAAGAAAUCCUGUCGGUUAAUACCCGGCGGGGAUGACGGUACCGUAAGAAUAAGCACCGGCUAACUUCGUGCCAGCAGCCGCAGUAAAAC
rnacentral:rRNA from 1 species